AAAACUUUCCUAAGGAAAUGAUGGAAAUGGUGAUGUGCCUGGAUUCUGAAAGAAAUUCCGCUCCGAAACCUAAGUGAUGGCCGAAAUUAGCCAGGAUAAAAAUUGACGCAGGUCAACAUCCAACGUGCUCAUGCAGUCAGCAUAAGUGGUUAACAUUGGAAUUUGCGGUGAGUGGAUACAGGUAAUAAAUUUUUCAUCAAUGAAAAUACAUUUUGCGGCGUUUGUACGCUUGCACGCGCAACACUACAUAUUGAUUGCUGUCUCAUCAUUCAUACCACAUGUGUAUGUGCGUGUGUGCCCGCCAUUGGACUUUACCUGCGUAUGCAUCGACACGCAUUCAUGUCUAAGACGUGCGGUUGGGAUGAGGAAAAUAGCGUACGACCAUGGUGACUUGGUGGAAUACACGACUUCAUCUCCUGAACAACCCAUUAACACAUCAAAGCUAUAAAAUGGACAUCACAUGGAAACUUCUCAACCUGGGUAGGUAGAGCUAGCCCAUUCCAUAUUUCGAAUUGAGGUGCAUAUGCAUAAAACAGCAAUUUAUAUGUGGACAAGGAAUUUGGAAUGAAAAACAGCGUUUUCAAUUCUGUUACAAACAAACAAUACCCGACACACUUUAAGGAAUCAAAGGUGUCAUCCAUACCUGACAUGGAACAUAACCACCCUUCAACUACAUCAGCAACAAUUUUACGACCAUCCUAAACAAAGGAGAGCACACAUCGCGGUGGAACUUUGAUAUUCCUGGUAUUUGUGAACAUAACUGUGAAAAACGUUAACAACAUAAUUCUUCAAGACAACAAUGAAAUUCAGUUCGUGUAAAUAUUUUGGUGUAUUAACUACAUUUUCUACCUGCUUUCAACACAUUAGACAAACAUCUGUGCAGACACGGAUCAACUACUAAACGGCGAGUUUUUAAUAUUUUAUUGUAUUUUGGUGCGGACAGAGGCUAGUGGACAGAUGGACAAUAAACAUUGUGGAGUAAGAGAGAUCAGUUUUGCAGUUUUGCUGUACACAAUAAAUUAAUACGAGACGAAUGUGAAAAUUUGAAUGCGAUCGUUAAAAAAUUCGACGAAUUCAGUGAAUUAUUUGGAGGAUGUGAUUCAGUACAGUUAAUUCUCGUCAAAGUAUCCUUUUUGGCGCUAAUUUUUCAUGGCCAUUGCAAGCAACCAAAUACUUAUAUUACGGCAAGGCCCACGGAAUAAAUUAGGUCCGGGUCAUAACGUUUACACAGGACAGAUUACAUGCAGUACGGAACAAGACGUUUCACAAGGGCUCACAUACACAAAGUUUGGCCACUUCCUGAAUGGCGGCUUGUUAUCUUGAUGUGGGGCUUGAAUGGGUUCUUCUAGACGUUAUCCCCAAAAAUGGUUGCUGACCGCCUCCAAAUAUAUAUAUGGAGGGUCCAGAAUCUUUUUGUUUGGUGACUAUCCUUGGCGAGACCUAAACCAAAUACAUAUUGUACAAACAAAACUCUCAACAUAAAAUACCGUACUCACUUCUGUUUUUGUCACAUACCAACAUCAAUAAAAAUAAGUCACACUAAACACAAUAAACAA